rnacentral:rRNA from 1 species
UACGUAGGUGGCAAGCGUUGUCCGGAUUUACUGGGCGUAAAGGGCGUGCAGGCGGUUUGUUAAGUGCAGGGUGAAAGCUCCCGGCUCAACUGGGAGAGGUCCUUGCAUACUGGCAAACUCGAGGGAGGCAGAGGAAAGUGGAAUUCCCGGUGUAGUGGUGAUAUGCGUAGAUAUCGGGAGGAACACCUGUGGCGAAGGCGGCUUUCUGGGCCUUACCUGACG